rnacentral:rRNA from 1 species
GCGUAGGGUACGUCGGCGGAUAGUACAAAAUAGAGUAAAAGACUGAGGAAGACCCUCUUUAAUCUGUAUUUACUGACUAUUUGAGUUAUAGAGGUGAUUAAUUGAAUUCCUUAAGUAAGGGUAAAAUUGUUGAUAUUGGAAGACAUUCAAUAGCGGAAGCGAUAAUCAAUCUAGAUCUGACGCUAGGUACUAAAGUAUGGGUAUGAAAAGGAUUAGAGACCUUGUAGUCCAUACCUUAAACAAUGAGUGUUCAACAUCCUUUAGCAUUUCUUUAUCAAUAAAUUUUUUGAAUUUAGAAUUGAGCUAACGGGGGUUUAAAGCUAACGCGUGAAACACCGCCUGGGGAAUGUGGCCGCAAGGUUAAACUCAAAGGAAUUGACGGAGGCUCAUACAAGG